rnacentral:misc_RNA from 1 species
GCAAGAGAUAUAGCAACUUCACUUGCUUGAGAUGCCUUUGCUGCUGAUGCAACAGCCUCACCUAGACCUCGAAAGGCUGCUACAUUUGAAACUGACUGUCCAAGGCCAAUCAAACUAACCCUCUUAGUGCCAAGACCAGGAAAUCUAAGAACUGUCGAUUGGCCCGCCUUUCCAGUGAAAUCUUCCUCAGCAGAGGCUUCAGCCAACAAUCCACCCAAGCGCGAAUCCAGCUUGUUCAAAAUUGGAUUCUUAAACUUGGAAUUU